rnacentral:lncRNA from 1 species
AUUGUUCGCAGCUGAUGUCACUCGCAGUUGUGAGCGGCCGCCUCUCCCGGGGACAAUGUGGGACUGAGCGGCCCAGCCGCCGUGCCGCCGCCGCCGCCGCCGCAGGACAGCCCCAGCGAGAGCCGGCCAGGUUGCAGCGCGGACACACUCGCAGGUCGCUGUGGCCCCAGCCUCGCCUGACAGAAUGAGCGGCUCGGACGGGGGACUGGAGGAGGAGCCAGAGCUCAGCAUCACCCUCACGCUGCGGAUGCUGAUGCACGGGAAGGAAGUGGGCAGCAUCAUCGGGAAGAAGGGCGAGACUGUAAAGCGAAUCCGGGAGCAGGUGAGGAUGGAGUUUGGGGGAGGAGCCCAGGGCACCUGAUGUGGAGGGGAGAUCCCUGCCCCACUUUCUCUCUGAACCACUCCUUCUGGGCUGACCAGUGAGUCCCCCAGAGGGUGGCAGUUUUGAGCCUUGCCUCAGGCCUGGUGAGUGGGGCAGGCAGACAAGUUCCGGCAAGGGAGCAGGGAAGAUGCCCCGCUGCCCGGCGCUCAUUCUAUAUCUGCAGAGCAGUGCCCGGAU